AAAACCGGAUCAUGUAUCUCUCUGCAGCAUUGGAACCCUGGGUAUCAAUAUGAAUAAAACUACUUUGACAAAGUGUUUGCUAAUCUGUACCAUUACCUUGUGCUUAACAGUGUUGUCGUUAGCAACACAAUCCCCCGACAGAAAUAGUCCAGAAGAAACCAAACAUGAAAGGAGGGAGCCACGGGGCGUCCUUGGUGAUCUGGAUUUUGACAUGCUUAAAGGAAAGUACCGAAAUCGCCAAGUGGGGCAUGGACUAAAUAUUUCUCAUUACGGCAAAUGAUACAAAUUGAUCAGAUGACUGCGUUUUCAAACCAUUUCAAAACAACAACAGAACAUCAAUGCAGAGAAGAGCACAGACAAUAUUAACAAAAAA